GACGAACGCUGGCGGCGUGCUUAACACAUGCAAGUCGAACGGAAAGGCCCCUUUGGGGGUACUCGAGUGGCGAACGGGUGAGUAACACGUGAGUAACCUGCCCUUGACUUCGGGAUAACUUCAGGAAACUGGGGCUAAUACCGGAUAGGAAUCCUUGCUGCAUGGUGGGGGUUGGAAAGCUUCGGCGGUUUUGGAUGGACUCGCGGCUUAUCAGCUUGUUGGUGGGGUAGUGGCUUACCAAGGCUUUGACGGGUAGCCGGCCUGAGAGGGCGACCGGCCAAAUUGGGACUACGGUACGGCCCAGACUCCUACGGGAGGCAACGGUGGGGAAUAUUGCAAAAUGGUGCGAAGCCUGAUGCGACAACCCCGCGUGCGGAAUGACGGCCUUCGGGUUGUAAACCGCUUUCACCAGGGGCGAAGCUUUUGGGAGCGUAACCAGAAAAAAAAGCCCCGGUAAAUUCGUG
rnacentral:rRNA from 1 species